AUGGACAGCACUAGUAUCGAGAUCCAAGAGAUGGUGAGGAAUACAAGUGACAGGCUGGAGGCCGAUUUCUCCAAGCUUGGAACCAAGAUCCACAAAUUCCCACGAGGCCUACGGCAGGGGAUCAACGAACGCUACAUCACCCCGAGCUUCGUGUCCCUCGGCCCAUACCACCAUGGCUCAACGCACCUCCGGGAGACGGAGGAGUUGAAGCACGCAGCGGCCCACUACCUGUGCCGGAAGUCGGGUCACACAGUCGAGGAAGUCUACAGCAAAAUCCUUUCCAUCGCCGGUGCAGCCCGCGGCUGCUACGCUGAUGAUGCGGCGGCAGGUAUCACCGACUCUGAAUUUGCAGUAAUGAUGUUCCUCGAUGGUUGCUAUCUGCUGCACUAUAUGGACAUGGAUUUCACACGUCCUAUGUUGACCAAUCGGAUGAUCUUGUCCACGGGACCUUGCAUGCUAAGGGAUAUCUUUCUAUUGGAGAACCAACUUCCUUGGUUGGUUCUAGAGGCUCUUACGGACAUUUUGAUGACAUCUCCUGCAUAUCAUUUUGUGGUUGGUUAUGCACAAUUUUUCAAUGUCACCCCUUCAUCAACUUCAGAUUCAAACACAAGGAUCACUAUGGAUGAACUCGAUAAGUACAAGCCGCCACAUCUCCUUGGGCUCCUCCGACACUAUCAGAUCGGCAAUAUGAUUGACGACGGUCGUAUUGACAAUCUCGCAUACUUCUCCUCAGCCAGUAGUGCCAUUGAGCUGGCGGAACUCGGCAUCAAGCUGACCGCCACCAACAAACCAUGGUUCGCAGACAUGAGCAUCCACAUAGACCACCUCUUCGGCCAGCUCUCCCUGACGCCAUUGUUCAUAGAUGACAUCACUGCUUGCUAA
rnacentral:rRNA from 1 species